UACUAAACAGAGGGUAUACACAUUC
rnacentral:piRNA from 1 species